rnacentral:rRNA from 1 species
UAAAUAGAUACCCCGGUAGUCCACGCCCUAAACGAUCGCGAACUGGAUGUUGGGUACAUUACGGUACUCGAGUGGUCGAAGCUAACGCGUUAAGUUCGCCGCCUGGGGAGUACGGUCGCAAGACUGAAACUCAAAGGAAUUGACGGGGGCCCGCACAAGCGGUGGAGUAUGUGGUUUAAUUCGAUGCAACGCGAAGAACCUUACCUGGCCUUGACAUCUGUCGAAUCCUGCAGAGAUGCGGGAGUGCCGCAAGGAACGACAAGACAGGUGCUGCAUGGCUGUCGUCAGCUCGUGUCGUGAGAUGUUGGGUUAAGUCCCGCAACGAGCGCAACCCUUGUCCUUAGUUGCCAGCACGUAAUGGUGGGAACUCUAAGGAGACUGCCGGUGACAAACCGGAGGAAGGUGGGGAUGACGUCAAGUCCUCACGGCCCUUACGGCCAGGGCUACACACGUACUACAAUGGUCGGUACAGAGGGUUGCGAAGCCGCGGAGGUGGAGCCAAUCCCAGAAAGCCGAUACCCAGUCCGGAUUGGAGU